UACGAAGGGAGCUAGCGUUGUUCGGAAUCACUGGGCGUAAAGCGCACGUAGGCGGAUGUGUCAGUCAGGGGUGAAAUCCCGGAGCUCAACUUCGGAACUGCCCUUGAUACAGCACGUCUUGAGUCCGGAAGAGGUGGGUGGAAUUCCUAGUGUAGAGGUGAAAUUCGUAGAUAUUAGGAAGAACACCGGUGGCGAAGGCGGCCCACUGGUCCGGUGCUGACGCUGAGGUGCGAAAGCGUGGGGAGCAAACAGG
rnacentral:rRNA from 1 species